CAGAGGCCUCGAGCGUUGUUCGGAAUUACUGGGCGUUAAGCGAAUGUAGGUUGUGACAUAAGUCAGAUGUGAAAGCCCAGGACUUAACCCUGGAAAUGCAUUUGAUACUGUGUUGCUAGAGUGUGAGAGAGGAAAGGGGAAUUCCUAGUGUAGGAGUGAAAUCCGUAGAUAUUAGGAGGAAUACCAAUGGCGAAGGCACCUUUCUGGUUCAUUACUGACACUGAGAUUCGACAGCGUGGGUAGCAAACAGGAUUAGAUACCCUGGUAGUCCACGCCGUAAACGAUGGAUGCUUGUUGUUGGGAGAGUAAACCCUUUCAGUAACGAAGCUAACGCGUUAAGCAUCCCGCCUGGGGAGUACGGUCGCAAGAUUA
rnacentral:rRNA from 1 species